rnacentral:lncRNA from 1 species
GCUAGUUUUCCAUAUUCUGGAUUUAUAGUGCUAGUUUUGUCAAUCAUCUAAUUUUGGUGGAUUUUUAGUAUUGGAACCAAAUUAAGUGUUGAAUAUCCAAGGUUUUGGUGUUAAAAUAAUUUAUAUGGAGUAUAUAUUGUUAGUGACCUUAAUUGGGAUUAGGAAGUUGAAAAUAAAAUUUAUCAAGUUCUCAUUGGUAAGUUAAUAUUUCUGACGGCAAGAAAAUACUCAAGGCUCCUCCAUAAAGGGAUAUGUUUUAUUGUAGCAAGAGUGCGAUAUCAUACUUGGUAUUUGAAAGUGAAGCGACGAGAAGAAUGAAAUCAUGAUCGACUAUGACUUGGUGAGUAGAUAUAUAACUUAUAUUUUUUAGAAUUAUUUAUUAAAUUCAUGUUAGAUUAGAAAAUUUAUUAUUUCAUACAAUUGAUUUAACAUGAUUUUUAAAAUAAAGUAGAUUUAUACUCAGUUAUUUUUAAAGGUAAAUUCAGUUCACUUAAAUCAUUUGAUUAGCAAGUUAUAUGAAUAUUAAAUAUUUUAAUAUAUUUAAUGUUAUUUUUAAAACCACUAGAAAGUACCCAGGCGAUAUUACCCACUCUGCACUGGUGUGAAUGUGUUUCCGCACUAUAUGACUAAUUAUGGUGAUUUUACCCGCUCUGCACUAUUGUGAAUGUGUUUCCAUAGUAUAUGACCAGAGUUAUAGAAUUUCAGCUCUGUGGGCGUAUGACCAAAAUUUAAGAAUUUCAGAAUUUAAUAACUUUGUCAUGUAUAUCGGUACUAACCAAUACAUGAGUAAGGCUAUUCAUUGGACUUUUUUGGUGUGAUUUUUCACUAUUUCUACAGCUUAUCAAAUUUCAGAUUAUAAAAUUCAGUUUAUUUAGUUCUAAGAAUAAAACUUCCAGCUUAUAGUAUUGAGCAACAACAAUAUUUCACAGAUUUUCAUGGAUGGUAGAUUAUUUAUAUUCUUUAUAUUUUACAGUUAUUGAACUAGAAUAAAGAACAAAGAAUUUUAUGACCCAAUCAUAUUUCAGUUUUAAAAGUGCUACUAGUUUUCAGAAUUUCUCAAAGUUUUAAUGGAGCAAAAAAUUUCAGAAAAUGUGCAUAAGUGAGAAAAGUUUACUUGUUUGCAAAUUAUCCACUCACUGAGUUUUAAGCUCAUAUAUUUUUUCACAUUUUUAUUUAUCAGACAGAUAGAAGCCGAAUUGAGCAGUUUUGGAGCCUGUCGAGCCACCAAAUUGAGCCGCGCGUCAUAGGUUGCAUGACAUCCUUUAUCAAAUUAUACAUUAGGUGUUCUUUUAGGAUAUAUGUAGCUUAAAUCAGAAAAGUUCAUUAUGGGCUCAUUAGAUAUUUGAUAUCUUUAAUAUAUUUGGGAAUUGUUGGUUGUAAAGCUAGUAAAUGUUGAUUUUCCAACAUUUUAUUUGAAUAGUUUGUAUUUUAAGGGACUGUCUUACCCUAUUCUUAUUAUAGGUAUUAAUUUG